UCCCUGGUGGCUCAGACGGUAAAGCGUCUGCCUGCAAUGCGGGAGACCUGGGUUUGAUCCCUGGGUCGGGAA
rnacentral:tRNA from 1 species